rnacentral:rRNA from 1 species
UACAGGCUUAACACAUGCAAGUCGAGGGGCAGCAUGGUCUUAGCUUGCUAAGGCCGAUGGCGACCGGCGCACGGGUGAGUAACACGUAUCCAACCUGCCGUCUACUCUUGGACAGCCUUCUGAAAGGAAGAUUAAUACAAGAUGGCAUCAUGAGUCCGCAUGUUCACAUGAUUAAAGGUAUUCCGGUAGACGAUGGGGAUGCGUUCCAUUAGAUAGUAGGCGGGGUAACGGCCCACCUAGUCUUCGAUGGAUAGGGGUUCUGAGAGGAAGGUCCCCCACAUUGGAACUGAGACACGGUCCAAACUCCUACGGGAGGCAGCAGUGAGGAAUAUUGGUCAAUGGGCGAGAGCCUGAACCAGCCAAGUAGCGUGAAGGAUGACUGCCCUAUGGGUUGUAAACUUCUUUUAUAAAGGAAUAAAGUCGGGUAUGGAUACCCGUUUGCAUGUACUUUAUGAAUAAGGAUCGGCUAACUCCGUGCCAGCAGCCGCGGUAAUACGGAGGAUCCGAGCGUUAUCCGGAUUUAUUGGGUUUAAAGGGAGCGUAGAUGGAUGUUUAAGUCAGUUGUGAAAGUUUGCGGCUCAACCGUAAAAUUGCAGUUGAUACUGGAUAUCUUGAGUGCAGUUGAGGCAGGCGGAAUUCGUGGUGUAGCGGUGAAAUGCUUAGAUAUCACGAAGAACUCCGAUUGCGAAGGCAGCCUGCUAAGCUGCAACUGACAUUGAGGCUCGAAAGUGUGGGCAUCAAACAGGAUUAGAUACCCUGGUAGUCCACACGGUAAACGAUGAAUACUCGCUGUUUGCGAUAUACUGCAAGCGGCCAAGCGAAAGCGUUAAGUAUUCCACCUGGGGAGUACGCCGGCAACGGUGAAC